UACGUAGGGGGCAAGCGUUGUCCGGAAUUAUUGGGCGUAAAGAGCUCGUAGGCGGUUUGUCGCGUCUGCCGUGAAAGUCCGGGGCUCAACUCCGGAUCUGCGGUGGGUACGGGCAGACUAGAGUGAUGUAGGGGAGACUGGAAUUCCUGGUGUAGCGGUGAAAUGCGCAGAUAUCGAGAGGAACACCAGUGGCGAAGGCGAGUCCCUGGACACUUCCUGACACUGAGGCACGAAAGCUAGGGGAGCAAACAGG
rnacentral:rRNA from 1 species